rnacentral:rRNA from 1 species
CCUACGGGAGGCAGCAGUGAGGAAUAUUGGUCAAUGGGCGAGAGCCUGAACCAGCCAAGUCGCGUGAAGGAUGACGGCCCUACGGGUUGUAAACUUCUUUUGUCAGGGAGCAAUUGAGUCCACGUGUGGGCUUAGCGAGAGUACCUGCAGAAAAAGCAUCGGCUAACUCCGUGCCAGCAGCCGCGGUAAUACGGGGUAUGCGAGCGUUAUCCGGAUUUAUUUGGUUUAAAGGGUGCGUAGGCGGAAUAUGAAGUCAGCGGUAAAAAUUCGGGGCUCAACCCCGUCGUGCCGUUGAAACUGAUGUUCUUGAGGGGGUUAGAAGUAUGCGGAAUGCGGGGUGU